rnacentral:rRNA from 1 species
UACGAGGGGAGCAAGCGUUGUUCGGAUUUACUGGGCGUAAAGGGCGCGUAGGCGGUUGAAUAAGUUACUUGUUAAAUCUCCGAGCUUAACUCGGAACGGUCAAGUAAUACUGUUUGACUAGAGUGCAGAAGAGGCAACCGGAAUUCUUGGUGUAGCGGUGAAAUGCGUAGAUAUCAAGAGGAACACCUGUGGCGAAGGCGGGUUGCUGGGCUGACACUGACGCUGAGGCGCGAAAGCUAGGGUAGCAAACGGG